CAAUAGUUUCCCGCCGCCUGUCAAAGUAUGUUUCCUGUAACGAUUGGAUAGAAAAUGUUUAAAGAUCUAAUGUCCAUUUAUAUUUGAUUCAAGUCCAGUCGAUUUAUAAUUUAGUAAAGAUCCAUGUCCAGUCAAUGUGAUCCUUGUCCAGUCAAGUUGUUAUUAUAGUCCAUGUGAUCCUAGUCCAGUCAAUUUACUAUUAUAGGUAAGUGUACAGUA